AACGAACGCUGGCGGCAUGCCUAACACAUGCAAGUCGAACGAGAUCUUCGGAUCUAGUGGCGCACGGGUGCGUAACGCGUGGGAACCUGCCCUGAGGUUCGGAAUAACACAGAGAAAUUUGUGCUAAUACCGGAUAAUGUCUUCGGACCACAGAUUUAUCGCCUUUGGAUGGGCCCGCGUAGGAUUAGCUAGUUGGUGAGGUAAAGGCUCACCAAGGCGACGUUCCUUAGCUGGUGUUAGAGGAUGAUAAGCCACACUGGGACUGAGACACGGCCCAGACUCCUACGGGAUGCAGCAGUGUGGAAUAUUGGACAAUGGGGGCAAGCCUGAUCCAGCAAUGCCGCGUGAGUGAUGAAGGCCUUAGGGUUGUAAAGCUCUUUUACUUGGGAUGAUAAUGACAGUACCCAGAGAAUAAGCCCCGGCUAACUCCGUGCCAGCAGCCGCCGUAAAAC
rnacentral:rRNA from 1 species